UACGUAGGGUGCGAGCGUUGUCCGGAAUUAUUGGGCGUAAAGAGCUUGUAGGCGGUCUGUCGCGUCUGCUGUGAAAAUCCGGGGCUCAACCCCGGACUUGCAGUGGGUACGGGCAGACUAGAGUGUGGUAGGGGAGACUGGAAUUCCUGGUGUAGCGGUGAAAUGCGCAGAUAUCAGGAGGAACACCGAUGGCGAAGGCAGGUCCCUGGGCCAUAACUGACGCUGAGAAGCGAAAGCAUGGGGAGCGAACAGG
rnacentral:rRNA from 1 species